rnacentral:rRNA from 1 species
CCUACGGGUGGCAGCAGUGGGGAAUAUUGCACAAUGGGGGGAACCCUGAUGCAGCAACGCCGCGUGAGUGAAGAAGUAUUUCGGUAUGUAAAGCUCUAUCAGCAGGGAAGCAGAUGACGGUACCUGAGUAAGAAGCCCCGGCUAACUACGUGCCAGCAGCCGCGGGAAUACGUAGGGGGCAAGCGUUAUCCGGCUUUACUGGGUGGAAAGGGAGCGUAGGCGGCGAGGCAAGUCUGGAGUGAAAGCCCGGGGCUCAACCCCGGGACUGCUUUGGAAACUGCCUGGCUGGAGUGCUGGAGAGGCAAGCGGAAUGCGUAGUGUAGCGGUGAAAUGCGUAGAUAUUAGGAAGAACACCAGUGGCGAAGGCAGCUUGCUGGACAGUAACUGACGUUGAGGCUCGAAAGCGUGGGGAGCAAACAGGAUUAGAUACCCGAGUAGUC